UUUCAUACAUGCUCUCUGGAUCCUUAGACUAUGUGGCUUUUUGAGGUUCACUGUAAGGUCAGUCUAUGCCUAUUUUGUUCUAAAAUGACAUGUUUAUUUUCAUUCAUCAAAAAUCUGUGAAAAUCUUCUUUGGGGAGGAGAGCAGAAAGUUUUUUAAGAUUUGAGCAUGUGCAUUUUUACAAUAGAUACGUUUAUCAUAUUCACUAAAUACUGUCAUUGAUAAAUAUCUCUUGGUACCAAAUACAUUUCCUUAAGCACAGGAUUUGUAUUGUGAUGAUACCAGCUUACCAUACAGUCACUGAUCAUGGUGCACAUCAGCAUUUUUUGCCUGCUUCAUGAUGGUAUGUGAGUAAUAGUUCACAAUAAUGGAUCUAUCACAGAUCCAUUUGAAGUUAAGACUGGAGAUAAGCAAGUCUGUGUCAUCGCUUCAACACUUUUCUCAAUAUUCCUUACUGUGAUGCUGUAUCUGACCACCAACAAGCUUCCAGUUGGAAUGGAAGUAAACUGUUGAAUGGAUGGUACACUGUUUAAUCUCAGAUGAUGCCAAGCCAAAAUCAAGACCACCCAGACCUAAAUCAUUGAGCUCCAGUAUGCUGCUGAUACUGUAGUGUGUGUUUACUCAGAAGCAGACCUUCAGGCAAUUAUCUAUGUGUUUACCAAGGCAUAAAAGAAAAUGGACUGAUGCUUAACAUUCAGAAGACUAAGGUACCUCAUCAACCAGCUCUUAAUGCGCAGUCCUCGGCUCAAGUAAUUCAGAUUCAUGAUGAGACUCUGGAGAACGUUGAGUAUUUCCCAUACUUCAGAGGCCAUCUCUUGUAGAAGGCUGACAUGAAUGAAGAAAUCCAGUAUCACCUCAGAUGUGCAAGUGCAGCCUUCAGAUGCUGGAGGAAACGGGUGUUUGAAGAUUGUGAUAUUGGAUCUGAAAACAAGCUCAUGGUUUAACAAGUAGCUGUGAUCCCCACCUUACUGUACAGAGCUGAGAGGGGACAGCUCAAGUUGUUGAGCUGCCUGCAAAAGAUCCUUGGAAUUCAUUGGGAAGGCAGAUACACCAACAUUAACAUCCUCUCGCAAGCAAACACCAUGAGCAUCCAGGCGCUGAUCAUCCAACAUCAACUUCACUGGGCCAGCCACGUCAUCUGGAUGUCCAACUUCAGACUCCAGAAGUAAGUUCUAUUCUCCCAUCUCAGUCAAGGUGUAUGCUCAAGAGGAGGGCAGAGAAAGUAUUUCGAGGAUGUUUUCGAGGCCAACUUGAAAAAAUGCAAUAUUGACAUUAAGUCAUGAGACUCAUCUGCCCAGGACUGCCCCAAGUGGAGGAUGCGUCUGCUGCAAGAUUUUCAGUACUUUAAAACCUUAUGAUGACGACAAGAGAUGGAAAAGCAGGAGUGGCAGAAACUGUAUGUCACAGACUGAAUCAAGAAUCCAGAGCUACCCAUCCCACAUGGAAACAUGUGCCCAAAUUGCAGCAGAGUCUGUGGAUUCUGAAUUGGCCUCAUUAGCCAUAGUUGGACUGAUGGAAGACAAUCAUCCUCAACUGCGAGGGAUUGCUGAAGAGGAAGAUGGUGCUCAUUACUUUACAGCAGCUUAUUAGCACUACUGGAGAUAGCAGUAGUAAUUAUAGACAUAGGCCAACUGAUUCCAGACCCUUCAAGGUGUAUUAUAAUGGACCUCUUUGAAAAAAAAAAUAUUCUCCAACUCUUGGCAGAUUUCCUUGCUUUUGAUUUACCACCAAAUCUGUUAAAGUAAAUUAUUGAGUCUACCUGACCCUGGGUUGACUUCCUUCUUCAGAGGAUUAGGAAGAUUCUAGGUGUAUUAUGUCCCUCUGACAUAGGGAAGGAUAUAUUGGGCUGGGGGUCAGCAGGGGGGAAUAUGAACAAGAUCAAAGUUGAGGUGGCACUUGGCUACUCUUGUUUCUCCUGAGGGACAGUAAAGUGAAAACAAAGGUGGGAUAUAGUUUUAAAUAAAGCAGUGAAGGGAAGAAUUUGAUGAGGAGGGCAGAGAACAUGGAGGCCAAAAUGCAUAGUCACAGAAUCAUUCAAAUACAUGAGGUUUUUUUAAACAAUCAUUUGUGCGCAUGGUCUUUCUGGCUAUCAGAAAGUGAAGGGCCAUCAGUAAUAGUGUACCUUCCUGCUUAUUUUCAAACUAAGAACUUGUUCCAGGCAUGGCACAGCCAUUCCAAGGCAGCUGCAUUGCCUCACUUUUAGGAAUUGCUGCAUGGAGCAAAGGUGAGUGGGUGCAGGGUGCUUCCUGCUGAUGUAUCCGGGCACAACAUGGAGGCAGUGUAGGCACGUCCUAACUUGUGCCUGAAUGCAUUUUUCAUAGUAAUACAUAACACACAGCCAGAUAAUAAUACAGGCAUAAUGCUGUCCUUCAUUGGACCUCACCCUGUCUAUGGGGACAGCACAUAUUUUCCCUCUAGCUACACGGCCUUGGAACCCCUGUCAAGAAGUAUGCAGCGGGUUGGCAGCUGAAUGGCUGGCAUGCAUGCGUGUUGGUGUCCCUG